rnacentral:tRNA from 1 species
UCCCAUGUGGCUCAGUUAGUAGAGCAUGGCACUUGCAAUGCCAGGCUUGUGUGUUCAAUUCCCAUGGGGC